GAUGAACGCUGGCGGCGUGCCUAAUACAUGCAAGUCGAGCGAACAGACGAGGAGCUUGCUCCUCUGACGUUAGCGGCGGACGGGUGAGUAACACGUGGAUAACCUACCUAUAAGACUGGGAUAACUUCGGGAAACCGGAGCUAAUACCGGAUAAUAUAUUGAACCGCAUGGUUCAAUAGUGAAAUACGGUUUUGCUGUCACUUAUAGAUGGAUCCGCGCCGCAUUAGCUAGUUGGUAAGGUAACGGCUUACAAAGGCAACGAUGCGUAGCCGACCUGAGAGGGUGAUGGGCCACACUGGAACUGAGAAACGGUCCAGACUCCUACGGGAGGAAGCAGUAGGGAAUCUUCCGCAAUGGGCGAAAGCCUGACGGAGAAACGCCGCGUGAGUGAUGAAGGUCUUCGGAUCGUAAAACUCUGUUAUUAGGGAAGAACAAAUGUGUAAGUAACUAUGCACGUCUUGACGGUACCUAAUCAGAAAGCCACGGCUAACUACGUG
rnacentral:rRNA from 1 species